AUUGAACGCUGGCGGCAGGCCUAACACAUGCAAGUCGAGCGGAGCGGCGGACGGGUGAGUAAUGCCUAGGAAUCAGCCUGGUAGUGGGGGAUAACGUCCGGAAACGGGCGCUAAUACCGCAUACUAUCAGAUGAGCCUAGGUCGGAUUAGCUAGAUGGUGGGGUAAAGGCCUACCAAGGCGACGCUCCGUAACCGGUCUGAGAGGAGGAACAGUCACACUGGAACUGAGACACGGUCCAGACUCCUACGGGAGGCAGCAGUGGGGAAUAGUGAACAAUGGGCGAAAGCCUGAUGCAGCCAUGCCGCGUGUAUGAAGAAGGUCUUCGGUUUGUAAAGCACUUUAAGUUGGGAGGCGUUACCAGCAGAAUAAGCACCGGCUAACUCCGUGCCAGCAGCCGCGGUAAUAC
rnacentral:rRNA from 1 species